CCGACUGUCCCAAACUCCCAAUUUCCACUUCCGUCAUUGCCAUUGCUGCUACCGCUAGCUGCAUCUCGAGUUUCUUCACUUCCUCCCACUUCAGCCACAGUCAUCGGUGCUACUGCUAGCUGCAUCUCCACCGCUUCCGCCAUCUCCACUUCAGCAACCUCCAAGAUCUUGUAGUGCUAAGGGCAGGUUGGGAAGAAAGGCAAGUUCCAAGGAAAGGCAAAGGAGCAAAGCUGCGAAAAAACAGAGCAAGGAAGGUUCAUCUGAAGAGCUGCCGGAACCGCCGCCGCUCAUAGCCGGCACCACCAUCCCGUUGGAAUCCACCACUGUCAUCCACGAACCUUCACCGCGAGAGACCACUGUUGGUUCGUAGAUCCAUUGCUGGCAUUAGGGAAGAUUACAAAGGUAACCUACUGAGACUGAAGGGAUGUGUCUUUUCAAAUAUGUGCUGAGACAAUGCUAAAUAUAUUCCUAAUCAGUGAAGUUAUCAUAAUUUGUAUUAAUGGAUUUUUGUGGACAUUUGGAUAAUUUGUAUUAGUGGAUAAUUUUUGGAUAAUUUGUAUUAGUGGACAUUUGGACAUUUA